rnacentral:lncRNA from 1 species
GGAAAGACAAUUACAUUGGAGGUUGAGGGCUCUGAUACCAUUGACAAUGUGAAGGCAAAAAUUCAGGACAAGGAGGGUAUUCCUCCAGACCAGCAGAGGCUUAUUUUUGCUGGUAAGCAAUUGGAGGAUGGAAGGACCCUUGCUGACUACAACAUUCAGAAGGAGUCUACUCUUCACUUGGUGCUGAGGCUAAGGGGUGGUAUGCAAAUCUUUGUGAAGACAUUGACCGGAAAGACAAUUACAUUGGAGGUGGAGAGCUCAGAUACCAUUGACAAUGUGAAGGCAAAGAUCCAGGAUAAGGAGGGGAUCCCACCAGACCAGCAGAGGUUGAUUUUUGCUGGGAAGCAGUUGGAAGACGGGAGGACUUUGGCUGACUACAACAUUCAAAAGGAGUCUACCCUUCACCUUGUCCUUCGUCUCCGUGGUGGUUUCUGAGUCUUGUCUGUUUGGUAUCUGGUGACUAUGGUCUUGUGGUACUUGGUCACUUUUAUGUUGCAGUUUUUAAUAUUCUGUUAUUAAGUGGUUGUGUUUUGUGUGGAAGGUGAAGCGGUGAACUAUGUAGUAGCAUAUUUAAUGGAGUAGUAAUAACGAAGGGUAGAUCUUGCUCUAAAAGUCAUGAAUUCUAUAAAAAGUUUAUAUUUUUUGCAACAGUCCAUAUAUCUCAGGUGUGGUGACUUUU